rnacentral:lncRNA from 1 species
GCAAAGCUUGGAAACACUCAUGUUACCGCCACCUGUGGAGCUCGGAACAUUGAAUUGGUGAAGAGCUUAGGGGCAGAUGAGAUUCUUGACUACAAAACACCUGAAGGGGCAUCCCUGAAGAGCCCGUCAGGUCGAAAAUAUGAUGUUGUGAUCCACAGUGCAUCAUCAGCCAUUCCUUGGUCAGUCUUCGAGGCAAAUUUGAGUGCAAGAGGGAAGGUAAUAGACCUUACUAUUGGUGCAAGUAAUCUGUUUACUUUUGUUCUGAAGAAAAUCACUUUCUCCAAGAAGAAGCUGGUGCUACUGGCUAUAAGUGCCAAGGCUGAGAACCUGGAUUGUCUUGUUAAGUUGGCCAAGGAAGGAAAACUCAAGACAGUAAUUGACUCAAACUACCCUCUGAGCAAGGCUGAAGAUGCUUGGGCUAAAAGAAUCAAUACCCAAUGCACUGGGAAGAUCAUUGUGGAGCCUUGAGUAGACAAAAUUUCCUAGGAUUGUAAACUUCAUGAAACUUUUUGCAAUUGUAGUAAACCUCAUGUACAAAAGAAUAAAACCUCAUGUACAAAAGAAUUAUGUAGUUAAUAGUGUGUGGAUUUUUCUUUUUCUUUUUGGUUUUAUGAACCAUUGGAUAUUGUAAAUGAGAAGGUUUGGGACUAAAUGUUCAUUUUCAACUGUUAGUAGUAUUUGACAGUAUUUCAGAUGUUUCUGUUGCUCCAUGGCUUACAUUAUGUGUGAGACAAUUCAUACUUACUUAGUUGCAAACACCCACUUGAUUGAAUUAUGUUUUGGGUAAGACUCUCUCUCAUUUGACUCUCAAAGUCAAGGGAGUGGAUUAAUUUAUAAGCAGAUAUAACUAUCUACAGACGUGGAAAUUCCUGAAACAUAACUUUGAAAACCAUUUUUUUACUUAAUUAAUUACUAUUAUAUUUAGUUAGAAUCAGUCUCCAAGAAAGCUCCAAUGUUAUUUCUUAAUGACAUUGAAAUUUCCCAGAAGACGGUGAUACAACAACUGCUCCUUAUAAAACUAGAAAAAACAAAUUAAACUAAUGGGUUUCCCAUUUCAUUAGUGAACUUGUGACCUCAACUCUGUACACACACACACACACACAUAUAUAUAUAUAUAUAUAUAACAAACCAAGUUGUUUCCUGCACUGCUUGCUAUCCCAAGACUCAAACCAAUCAACAAAAAUGGUUGUGUUCCUUCUCAAACUCAUCUUCUUUGCAUUAAGCUUCAUAUCGAACUUGGUUUCGUGGUUGAUCUUCUCUGGUACCGCCCAUAUUCUGGUGCUGUUGAUCCAUGGAUUCAGAGGACCAGGCCAAGCCAUCCAUGGCACAUUACAACAAGUCACAGAGGUCAUUAAGUCAUGUUCUGAGAACUUUGUGGGCCUUGUAAUGGAAGCAAUAAGCGCUCUAAUUUCUACUAUCUUUGAUUAUCUAAAAGAAAUUGUCACAGGAUCUGCUGGAGUUACAACUUCUGCGAUUGGAGAUCUCAUGGAGAAAACAAAGACUUCACUUGAUGGGUUGCUCACAGAUGUUCUAGAGGUUUCUGAAGGGUUGUCUGAGAUGGUUUUUAUCAUAGUGGCUGAUUUGUGGAACAAUUGCAAGGAUGCUUUUGGAUAUGUUGCGGAGAAUGCUUGAUUAUUUGCAAAUACCUCUUCAAUUGGUUGUAAAAGAUGUGUAGCUCAUAAAGUAUAUGAACAAAUGUGUAUCAAUUUUCAGAUUUCGAAAAGCAUCAUGCAACUAAUAAUCUGUUUUAGAUUACUUGAAAAGGUAUAGGAAUAACUAAUAAAUAAUUAAGAACCAUUUUUUGUGGGUAAUUUGUUGUAUUUCAUGCUAUGUGUGAGGGUCUCCCAUGUUGCCUUGGAGGAGUGCUACAGUCAGUCACUCACACUUAAGUCAUAGAUGCGCGUGGAUUUACAAUAAGGCCUAGAUACAUUAACAGCUCGAAAUUAGGAACACGCGAUUGACCAUAGUAUUUUUUAUUGCACAGCUUAUAUUUGUGAUUAUUUAUUCAGUAUAAUGUGAAGCUGCCUCAUAUAUGAGACAAAACUACACUUAGGAUAUUCAAUCGCUUUCUUUAAUUAAUCUCUCUGUGUACUUGUUUUUUUAUGUAUGAUUUGGAAUAUAAUUUUUAUAGCAUUAUUGUACUGUGGAGAGUUCUGAAUUCAGCAAGUCACAGUAUAACAAUUGAUGGUGCUGCAAAAAUUUCAUUCUCACCACUCUCAUUAAUCUCUCUGUCUCCGAUAAUGGCAGCCGUGGCGCCCAAACUUAUGCAUGCAGUUCAGUACAACUGUUAUGGUGGAGGAGCUUCUGGUUUAAAGGUUCUUUAUUUAUCUGCUCUUUUUGUUCAAUUUUCCAUCACUAUUAUAUUUUGAGAGAGAAUGAACCCCCAGCAAGGAAAUGUUUCAUAGUUGAAUUGAAGUUGUGAAAAUAUUUCUUGGUGCUGGGAAUAUGUGCUUGUUUUGUUUUGCUGCUUGCUUUAAAAAGCAAUAAAGCCAAGGGACUUUGAGGCUUUUGAGACAUUUCUAUUUGUCUGUGCUAAUAUGCCCUUAUUUGUAACAUUAAGCAAUGUUGGCUAAAAUUGGUUGGAGAACUUGUCAGAUGGAUGAAGGUCUCUGGGUUAGGCAAAAGUAUCUGAAAACCCUCUUCUGGAUGACAAUUUAAAGAUGCCCAAGGAUGCCUCAUAGAUUUUUAUGUUUGUUGCAGCAUGUAGAAGUUCCAUUUCCCACUCCAAAAAAAGAUGAGGUUGUUCUGAAAUUGGAAGCAGCUAGUCUAAAUCCAUCUGAUUGGAAAAUUCAGAAAGGGAUAUUGUGGCCUGUUUUCCCAGGCAAACUCCCUCACAUACCUGGUAAUUCUGUUUUGCCUAUGGUCUGUAAAGAUGAAUAUAGUUUCUAUUCUAUGCAGAAAAAUAUGAGUUGUUCUGUAAUUUAUGUGCAUAAGAUGUCUUUGAGUCAUAGGCAGGUAGGCUGGUUUGUUGUGUUUGGCUGAUGAGAUUGUCGAAAACAGUUAAUGAUGUCUCUGGAGAGGUUAUAGAGGCCGGACAAGGAGUCAAAAAGUUCAAAGAAGGUGAAAAAGUUGUGGCAUUGCUAAACUAUUUUGUAAGUGCACAAUUUAUUCCUUCUGGUUAGAAGUUUCACAUACAAAACUCAUGUGUUUGUUUCUGAUAUAAUCUCUGCCUUGCUUUAUCUCUGUUGUCAUAUUAUAUAUUUUGAAAGAAUGGAGGUGGAUUGGCUGAGUAUGCUGUAGCUAGUGAGAGAUUGACAGUUGCUAGGCCCCCUGAAGUUUCAGCAGCUGAAGGUGCGGGAUUACCUAUUGCAGGUCUUACAGCUCUCCAGGCUCUCACUCAAGCUGCAAAUAUCAAGCUUGAUGGAACUGGUGAGCUCAAGAACAUACUUGUUACUGCUGCCUCUGGUGGUGUAGGUCACUAUGCAGUCCAACUAGCAAAGCUUGGAAACAACCAUGUCACAGCCACUUGUGGAGCUCGGAACAUUGAUUUGGUGAAGAGCUUAGGGGCAGAUGAGGUUCUUGACUACAAGACCCCAGAAGGAGCAGCUCUUAAGAGUCCAUCUGGUCGAAAAUAGGAUGCCGUGAUACACUGUGCAACUGGCACUCCUUGGUCAAGUUUUGAGCCUAAUUUAAGUGCAGAAGGGAAGGUUAUAGACAUUACUAUCGGUCCAAGCGCCUUGCUUACUUUGGUACUAAACACACUCACCUUUUCCAAGAAGCAGCUGGUGCCGCUGCUCAUGAAUCCCAAGGCUGAGAACCUGGAGUAUCUUGUUAAGCUGGUAAAAGAAGGAAAACUCAAGACAGUGAUUGACUCAAGGCAUGCUCUAGCCAAUGUUGAAGAUGCUUGGGGUAAAAGUAUAGAUGGGCAUGCUAUUGGGAAAAUUAUUGUGGAGCCUUAAGUAGAUAAAGUAUCUUUGGAUUGUAAAUUUCAUGUACUUAUUUUGGGAUUGUAUAUUUCUAAUCUCUGUUUUCUUUGAUUUUGUAAAAGAAAGCAAAGAAAAUUUUGAGGAGAAAACAAAGACUUGGCUUGAUGGGUUACUCACAGAUUUCCCAGAGGUUUUUUAUGGUUUAUCUGAGAUAAUUUCUACCAUGGUGACUGAUUUGUGGAACAUUUACAAGGAUGCUUUAGGAUAUGAGAAUGCUCUGAUUAUGUGUAAAUACCUCCUUAAUUGGUUGUAAAAGAUGUUUGCAUCAUAAAAAUGUACCAAUAGUCCUUUACAAAUUAAGAAUAAGAAAAAGAACUAAUGUUUAUUAAUUCUGAGUUAGGUUUUGCUUGGCGAACAAGCCAAGCCGUUGUGGAUAAAUAUGCUAUAUAGAACAACAAAUUCAGAAUACAAUUGCUUUAUUAUCUUGUGUUCUUAUUUUAUAUGUGAUUGGAAUAAAAUUUUCAUAGAAUUAUUAAAAUAUUAAAUCAAGUUCAAAUUUGUAAACUAUGAGACAAUCAUUAAUCAAACAAAAUGCUCCAAUAUUAUUCCUCAUAGGUUGACUUUUGAGGAGCACAAUAGUUUAUAAACUCUACUCAUUACAGUAUAAUAUAUGGCAGUUCACAUGAUGUUUUCAUUGGUAUAAAUAUAUGGGGUUAGCCUGAUGGUGCAUUGUCACAGCAAAAACUUGUCUCUCACAAUUCUAGCACUCUGUCUCCGAGUUUGGAAGCCAUGGAGGCAAAGCUUAUGCAUGCGGUCCAGUACAAAAGCUAUGGUGGAGGACCUUCUGGUUUAAAGGUUCUUAGUUUAUUUGCUCCUUUUCCUUCAUGUGUUCUGCCAAUGUUCUUGCAGAAGUCUUUGAAUAUGAAUAUAUUUUGCUUCUGACAUUUUCUAUUCUAUUCGUAUCAAUUUCGAAUUGAGUGCAUCAAAAUGUGUUCAAGAUUGAGAUCGUAAAGGGAAAAGGGAAAGAAUUUACAACCAGGAAAAAUGUUGAGCAGAACUUGUGAAGAGAGUUGCUUGUGCUGCUUGCUUUAAAGAGAAAUGGGUUUAAGACUCGGAGACAUUGGACUACUUGUUUCUUGCUGUUUUGCAGCUUUCUUCUUUUAGGCCUUUUGUGUUCCUUGUCUAUGUCUAGAGUUAUACCAUAAUCAACUGUUAUACUUUUGUCAUGUUUUGUUGCAGCAUGAUGAGAUUCCAAUCCCCACUCCGAAGAAAGACGAGGUUUUGCUGAAAGUGGAAGCAGCAAGUCUAAAUCCAGGUGAUUUUAAAAUUCAGAAAGGCAUGGCACGGCCUUUUCUCCCAAGCAAAUUACCUCACACGCCUGGUAAUUCUCCUUUGCCGGUGGUCUGUACUUCACAAUUUUUUUUUUCUGGUAUACAUGUCAGAUAUAAGCCUAUGUGACAUUUGUAAGAAAUUAGGAUAACAGUUCAUAUUGUGUUUCAUAUAUGUCUCAUUUACAUUUGAUUCAUAUGUGGAAGUCUUGGUUGGGAGUGAGUUUUGAGGCAGAUGGAUUAGUUGGAUUCUGAAACAAAUAUUGUUCCUAAGCUGAAAAAUGAUGACCUGUUUUAUGAUUUCUGCAUUCAAUAUAUGUUCAAGUUUUAGGCUGGGAGGCUUUUGAUUUGUUCUCUCUGGCUGAUGAUGGCAUUAUGGAAAACAGUUACUGAUGUGGCUGGAGAGAUUGUAGAGGUUGGACAAGGAGUUCAAAAGUUCAAAGUUGGUGACAAAGUUGUGGCCUUACUUACUUACAGUGUAAGCACCACUCACCUUUGCUUGAAGAUAUACCUGUGUAUGGUUAAAAGUUUUACCGAUAAAAUUUAUCUGCUUCUUAAUUUUAGGCCUCAUUUUUUUGUCUCUUGUCAUAGAAUGGAGGUGGGCUGGCUGAGUUUGCUGCAGCUAAAGAGAAAUCAGUAGUUUCUCGGCCACCUGAAGUUUCAGCAGCUGAAGGUGCAGGCUUGCCUGUUGCUGGUCUCUCAGCUCACCAGGCUCUCACCAAAGCCGCAGGGAUCAAGCUUGAUGGAACUGGCCAGCUCAAGAACAUACUGAUCACUGGUGCCGCCGGCGGUGUUGGUCUCUAUGCAGUCCAACUAGCAAAGCUUGGAAACAUUCAUGUAACAGCCACUUGUGGAGCUAGAAACAUUGAAUUGGUGAAGAGCUUAGGGGCAGAUGAGGUUCUUGACUACAAGACAACUGAGGGGGAAGCUCUUAAGAGCCCGUCGGGUCGAAAAUAUGAUUUCGUGAUCCACAGUGCAUCCGCAGCCAUACCUUGGUCAGUUUUUGAACCAAAUUUGAGUGCAAGAGGGAAGGUCAUUGACCUUACUCCUCGUGCAAGUUCCUUGUUUACUUUUCUUCUAAAGAAAAUCACUUUCUCCAAGAAGAGGCUGGUGCCACUGAUGAUAAAUGCCAAGGCUGAGAACUUGGAUUGUCUUGUUCAGUUGGUGAAGGAAGGAAAACUCAAGACUGUGAUUGAUUCAAACCAUUCUCUAAGCAAGGCUGAAGAUGCUUGGGCUAAGAGAAUCAAUAGCCAAUGCACUGGGAAGAUCAUUGUGGAGCCUUAGGUAGGCAAAAUAUCUCGGGAGUUUAAACCUCAUGAUUUUUUUUUUUGGGAUUGUAUUAAAAUUCAUGUGAAGCAGAAUAAGGGUGUUAAUAUAAUAAUAUGUGGACUUUUUGGUUUUAUUCAUGAUUGGAUAUCGUAAAUGAGAAGAUUUGGGAUGAAUGCUCAUUUUCAACUGCUAGUUUUAUAUGGGAUAUUAAUUAGAAUAUAUCACUAAUCAAACAAAAUGCUCAAACACCACGCUAUUAAUCAUGAUCAUUGUUGCAAUGUGGGCUAGGGCAGUUGGGCAGAACAGCCGCUACCCAAGUUUGAGUUCCUCUUCUCGUAAACGAUUAAUUUAUUCGUAUAAAUUUAUCACUUGUAUAUUUUUUUAUUCUAAAUUAUCAUCAUCAUGACUUCUCAAGCAAACGAAGUUCUGGUUUAUAGCAUCGGACACAAUCCAAUUAUUCUACUUUUUGUAUUAUAUAUAACUAAAUAAAUAAAAAGAAACAAAAAAUAAAGCGAAGAAAACAAUGAGCGUCCUUAGUGUUUGUCAUUUAUGUGACAUGUCGGCCAGUGCAUUGGCUAUUGAUUCUGGUUUAAAACUCAAGGAACCCAAUUUCAGAAAUCUCGCAACUCUGUCUCUGUGUAUCAUCAGCCAUGUCGGCCAAGCUUAUGCAUGCAAUUCAAUACGACAGCUAUGGUGGAGGACCUUCUGGUUUAAAGGUUCCUUCUUUAUCUGCUCGUAUUCUUCUUUUAGUUUCCAUCAAUCUAAUUUUGCUUAUAUUAACAGCAAUAAAGGAGCAACCUUUUACAAAUUGUUAUGUAAAUGUUAUGUUUGUUGCAGCAUGUCGGGGUUCCAAUCCCUACCCCGAAGAAAAAUGAGGUCUUGCUGAAAUUAGAAGCAGCCAGUCUAAACCCAGUUGAUUGGAAAAUUCAAAAGGGCCAGUUGCGGCCUCUCUUCCCAGGAAAAUUCCCUCAAAUACCUGGUAAUUCUGUUUUGACUCUGGUUUGUGAUUGUUUUUGUUUUUGUUGACAUUUGUAAUGAGUGCAUAAUUUUUCAGUCUUGUGCAUAAACAUGUUGGCAAACAGGCUUCUGCUUAUCCCAAGUUACAGUUGAUUCUGAAACUUACGCAUUGAUUUUCGUCUUCUUAUGGUGAAACACAUGACUUGUUUUGUGAUUUGGUUGGUUUGUUCAUGUUGACUGGUGGCAUUAUGUGGAACAGCAACUGAUGUGGCUGGGGAGAUUGUAGAGGUUGGACAAGGAGCCAAAAAGUUCAAGGUGGGUGACAAAGUUGUGGUAUUGCUCAGCCAUUUUGUAAGUGCCAUUUUAUUCCUUUGCUUGUUUCUGAUUAGGAUUUCUUCCACAUAUAAAAUUCAUGUUCUUGGUACUUAAUGAUGUCAUAUAUGCCUCACAACAUGUCUGUUGUGAUAUUACAUAUUUGAUAGAGUGGAGGUGGACUGGCUGAGUUUGCUUCAAGUAAUGAGAGAUUCAUGGUUGCCAGGCCAGCUGAAGUGUCAGCAGCUGAAGGUGCAGGCUUACCUGUUGCCGGCAUCACGGCUCACCAGGCUAUCACCCAAUCUGCAGGGAUCAAGCUUGACGGAACUGGCAAGCAGAAGAACAUAUUGAUCACUGCUGCCUCUGGUGGCGUUGGACACUAUGCAGUCCAACUAGCAAAGCUCGGAAACACUCAUGUCACAGCCACCUGUGGAGCUCGUAACGUCGAAUUGGUUAAGAGCUUAGGGGCAGAUGAAGUUCUUGACUACAAGACCCCGGAUGGGGCAGCUCUGAAGAGCCCGUCUGGCCGGAAAUAUGAUGCUGUGAUCAACUGUGCAACCGGCAUCGCUUGGUUAACUUUUGAGCCUAAUUUGAGUGCAAAAGGGAAAGUUAUAGACAUUGCCCCAAAUGCAAGUUCUUUCACUACAUUUCUUUUGAAGAAACUCACUUUCUCCAAGAAGUCCUUGGUGCCAUUGCUCAUGAUCCCCAAGGCUGAGAGCUUGGAUUAUCUUGUUAAUUUGGUGAAGGAAGGAAAGCUCAAGACGGUGAUCGACUCAAAGCAUCCCAUAAGCAAGGCUGAAGAUGCUUGGGCUAAGAGUAUUGAUGGCCAUGCUACGGGGAAGAUCAUUGUGGAGCCUUAGGUAGCCAAAAUAUUAUAUCUUCAAAUUGUGAAGUACAUGUACUUAUAUUAAGGAUUGUAAACUUCAUACACUUUUUUUGGGACUGUAAAUUUCAUGUGGAUUAGAGCAUCUCCAACCGAUAUCUCAAAGAGGAAUGCUAGCAACCUUCUCCUUUGGAUCUUCUCCAUUUUUUGCUUGACAUGUGUCAUUAUCCUUACACUUAAAACAAUGUCAUUAAUAUAUUAUACAAGCUAACUUUUGCUUUUCAAGUUUACUCUUAUUAAAUGUAUUGAAUUUAUCCAAAAAAAUUUCAAAACUUUCUUACCAUCUUAUUAAUUUUUUUCUAAAGAAAAUAUAUGCUUUUAAGAGGAAAUGUCCGGUUUUUUUUUUUAAUUUAAAUUUUUUUUAUUUUUAACACAAAGGGUUUAGAUAGAAAAAAAAAAAAAAAAGUCCUUUGUGUUUUUAAAAAAACGGACAUUUCCUCUUUUUUGAAAAAAUCGUAUAUUUUCUUUAAAAAAAUAAUUGACGUUAAAAAAAAAUGAUGGUAAGAAAGUUGUGAAUUUUUUUUUUGGAUAAAUUGAAUACAUUUAAUAAGGGUAAAAUUUGAAUAGCAAAAGUUAACUUGUAUAAUAUAUUAAUGACAUUGUUUUAAGUGUAAGGAGAAUGACACAUGUCAAGUAAAAAAUGGAGAAGGUCCAAAAGAGAAGGUUAGAGAGAAGGUUGCUAGCAUUCCCCUAUGUCAAAAGUGUCACAUAACCAUUUAACGGCUAGAAAUAACAUUGCACAUCACUCCAACCGAUGUGUCAAAGUGGAUGUGGAAUGAAGGCUGGAAGUUUAGAUGUUAUUUUUGACAUCUCAAAAGCAUGAUGUCAAAUGAAUAUUUUAUUAUUAUUCUUUUCUUUUCUUUUUAAUUAAAAAUAAAUCAACACUAAAAUUUAAUAAAAUAAUAAUUUAAUUUGACAUAUUGGGUGGAGUGUAAAGCUGUGUAAGAUGUCAAAUUGCCACAUCAGCUAUUAAAUUUAAAUUUGAUGUUUGGUAUUUGACAUCUUCCUUGGAGAUGCUCUUAGAACAACGUAUUAAUACUUUGUACAUUUUUCUUUAUUUUGUUGAGAAAUUCAAGAGUUAUAAGGUAUUUUUGAGUGAAACUAGGCUCCGAUACUAAUACGAGCUCAUGAGUAGAACUUUCCCCUAAAAAUCGGUUUGUAAAAAUUUGAUUCAAAGCGGCAAUCAGAACUUGCAAAAAAAAGAAUAAAUUUUUUGAUUCAAUUGUCGACCUGCACAUUAUAAAAUCCAAACAUCUUCGGGAGCACAAUCUAAUUAUCUAUGGCACUUUUUAAAGAAAGUACAACCUAUACAUAGUAUACAUAAAAAUGCAGGGUAUUUCCGUCAUUUUAAUUAAUAUUACAGUUGGCAACUUGAGAUGCAUCCACGUGUGGUAUACGUCAAAAACCUUCCACAAGAAUCUAGUAACGCUUCCUCUCUCUCUCUCUCUCUCUCUCUCUCUGUUCAAAUCUUGGAUCUUUCCUUUCUCUUUUGUCUCUGCCGACUCAGGUUAUGGCAGCAGCCAUGGCGUCGAAGCUUAUGCAUGCGGUUCAGUACGACAGCUACGGUGGAGGAGCUUCUGGUUUAAAGGUUCUUUCUUUUUCUACUUGUUUACUUUCAUCUUUCAUUCCUGCUGUGAUUUUUGCUUCUGGUAUUUUGUUAACCGCUUAAUAUUCGGUGGUGUGUAAAAGAAGAAAAAAAAACUGUAUUAACUUUUAGAGUGGUGGGUGGGAGAGUUCAGGCUUAAAAUUGAUUGCAUCAAAAAUAUUUUUGGCCAUGAAAUCCAAAAGGAAAAACGAGAAACAGAACAACCAAUGAGAAAAUGCUUCAGGGUUGUGUUGAAUAUUUACUUACUUGUAGAGAACUUGAAAAUUGUUUAUAAUUUAUGUUUGUUUGCAGCAUGCGGAGGUUCCAGUCCCCACUCCAAAGAAAGGUGAUAUCUUGCUGAAAUUGGAAGCUGCUAGUUUAAACCCAGUUGAUUGGAAAAUUCAGAAAGGCAUGUUUCGGCCUCUUUUGCCACGCAAAUUCCCUCAUAUACCUGGUAAGUGCUGUUUUGCCUGGUGUUGUAGUUGUGUAUUUCAGAUCUAUGCAUCUUUGACAUUAUAAUAUAGAAAUUAUUCCACAACACCAAAAAAAAAAGGUUAUGCCUUUUUGGCACACCGGUGUUUCUGGGAUGACCAACAUGCUAUCAAACUCAACUGAAAAAUGAAUAAAAAAUUGAAUGCUCUCUCGGUGACAUGAAUUGACGACUCCAGUUUUUUACCUGCCUCCUUUACAGACUCUGCUGUGCUUGUUUUUGCAAAUCUUUUAUCACUGCCUGUAGUUUUUGGUGAUGUGAAAUUUACUCAAUUUUGUUAAGUUCAACUAGAAUUUGCCUGUUCCCAGAAACAGUUAACUUUCUGGGAACGUAUUGAUUGAUAAACUAUUUGAUCUUGAUUAAUUACUGCAUCAUUGGAACAUAAAGCAUACCCACUGUGUCUUGAAGAGAUUGCCAUCUAUGAAGAAGUGAAUAUUGAAAAGUGAUCAUAAUGGUUACGGAUUAAUAUAUUUCAGUAAAAUCUCUCAUUCAGACUUUAUUCAUUUGUGGAAGUAUUGCAAGAGUUGAGGUAGAAAAGUUAAACAAAUUUGUGCUUUGAUUUUUAAGUGGAUGAAUAUCAUUCAUAUAUUGUUAGAAGAGUUGUUUUGUGAGUCAUAGGCUGAUAGGUUGGUUUGAUAACAUUGUUUAGCUAAUGACAAUCUUGGGAACAGUUACUGAUGUUGCUGGAGAGGUUGUAGAAGUUGGACAAGGGGUCCAAAAGUUCAAACCGGGCGACAAAGUUGUGGCAUUUCUCACCCACACUGUAAGUGUUCAUUUUAUUCCUUUGGUUAAGCUCUCCAUUUCUUGAGGAAGUUUCACUUAUAAAUCUCAUUUGUUUGUUAGAAUGGAGGUGGACUAGCUGAAUUUGCUGCAGCUAGUGAGAGCUUGACAGUUGCCAGGCCACCUGAAGUUUCAGCGGCUGAUGGUGCAGGCUUACCUGUUGCUGGUCUCACAGCUCACCAGGCUCUCACCCAAGCUGCAGGGGUCAAGCUUGACGGAUCUGGCCAGCAAAAGAACAUAUUGAUUACUGCUGCCUCUGGUGGUGUGGGUCAGUAUGCAGUCCAACUAGCAAAGCUCGGAAACACUCAUGUUACAGCCACGUGCAGUGCUCGUAACAUCGAAUUUGUCAAGAGCUUGGGGGCAGAUGAGGUUCUCGACUACAAGACCCCAGAAGGAGCAGCUCUGAAUAGUCCAUCUGGUAGGAAAUAUGAUGCUGUGGUCCAUUGUGCUACGGGCAUUCCCUGGUCAACUUUCGAGCCUAAUUUGAGCGCCAACGGGAAGGUUAUAGACCUUACUCCUAGUCCAAGUGCCUUUGCUACUUUUGCUCUGAAGAAACUCACCUUCUCCAAGAAGCAGCUGGUGCCACUGUUCAUGAGUGCCAAGAGUGAGAACCUUGAUUAUCUUGUCAAGUUAGUGAAGGAAGGAAAGCUCAAGACUGUGAUCGACUCGAAGCAUCCUCUGAGCAAGGCUGAAGAUGGUUGGGCUAAGAGUAUUGAUGGACAUGCAACUGGGAAGAUAAUUGUGGAGCCUUAAGUAGACAAACGAAAACUAUAGUGGGAUAUAAACCUCACGUACUUGAUGGAAGUUGUUUGAUACAGAUAGUUAUGUCAUGUGUAAUAUAAAAUUAUAUAAUAAUGUGGGGUUUUAUAAUCCUGAAUCAAUAUUGUAAAUAUUGAGGUUUGGAUUAUAUAUUGUUCAUUUUCAUGUUGAUUAUAUUUCACAGUAAAUUCAUAUAGUUCUCUCAAAAACGAAUUUACUCGGUUAUCAAACCAGUAAUAUGGGUUUAGACUCUAGAGAGAGAUGACGAUGGUUGAUAUAAUCAAAUGAAAUAUAAAUAUAUAAAAAAUAGAAAGCCGAAGCAUCAUGAAUCAUGAACAAUUCUACUCUGUUUUACUAUAGACGUGGGCUAAUUACGCACUAGCAACAACGCAAGCUUACUUCAUAAAAUCUGAGACGAGUUUCAAGUUCUGUCGAUUCUUCUGAACAAAACUGAGGGAAGCCUAGGGUGGCAACAAAAAAAAAAAACUGAGGGAGGCUAUGGCGAAAAAUGUUAUGCAUGCAGGCUGUGGUGGUGGACGACCUUCUGGCUUAGAGGUUAUUCAAAUUACAUUUCUUCAAUUUCUAAAUAAAAGUUUCCCUCUGUCAAAUUAGUUUCCUUUUGUUUCUCUUGAAUUAUACUCUCUGUUUGUCCUUGAAGAAAAACCCUUUUACAUUACACGAUCAACUUGUCCACUAUAAACCCCAUGAAAAUUAAAUCACAUGGUGCCUAAUGGAUCUUUUUUCAAGUACUUGUUUGAGUAAAUCAAAAUUUGAAAUGUUGUGAAGGAAAAGAUAAAGGGAGUCUUUUCUGAGUUUUCUUCUUUCCUUUUGCUAAUGUUUUUAUGUUGGGAGAAGGGAUACGGGUUGAGAAAAACUUGCAUGUCACGUGAUAGCACAUAUUAAGCGUGGCAUAACGUGAUUGAUUGGGGAUAGCAAAACAGUGCUAUCCCCAUGACAUGCAAAUUCUUCUUUCUUCUCGUAAGGGUGUGGUGGAGGUUGUGGUUGAGAAUGACCAAGACUAGCUUUUGUACUUGGAAAGGAAACAUACAAUUUGUUUAUGCAUUGAAGAACAUAUUAUUGUUAAGUCAUUGGCCCUUAAUCAAUUUUGGUGCUAAUUGCAGCAUGUUGAAAUUCCAAUUCCAAAUUCAUACAAAGAUCAAGGGAGAGGUGUUGCUGAAAUUGGAGGUGGCUAGUCUAAAGUCAACCCCAUUUGAUUGGAAUGGAAAGUUUGAGAAAGGUAUGCCGUGGACUUUGUUGCCUCCCACCAAUUUUCACACGUACCUCAUGUGACAGCCACUCGCACUUUUGUGGAGCUCGUAGCCUUGACUUGGUCAAGACCUCAGAAGGAGCAAGCAGCUCUACAAGAGAAGAGUCCAUCUCCAUUUGGUCCAAAAUAUGAUGCUGUGAUGUGAUCCAUUAGGCAUUCCUCUGUCAACUUUUCAGCCUAAUUUGAGUGCCACUGGUAUGAUGCUGCUGUGAUUCUAAUGCGAACUCAUGAGUAGAACUUGCCUCUAAAAACCGAAUUGUAAAAGUUUGGUUCAACUCGGCAAUCAGAAUUUUCCAAAUUUUUUUUUUAAAGUUCGAUUCAAUUUUCGGCCAACACAUUGUGAAAAUCAAAACUUUUUGAAAGAAAGCACAACCUAUAGCACUUUUCAAAGAAAGCACAGCCUAUAUAUACGUCAAAACCAUUCCACAAGAAUGUAGUAACACGUCCUCUCUCUCUCUCUCUCUCUCUCUCUCGUAAAAUCUAGGAUCUUUCCUUUCUCGUCUGUCUCUGCUGACUCAGGGUAUGACAUUGGCAGCCAUGGCGACAAAGCUUAUGCGUGCGGUUCAGUACAACAGCUAUGGUGGAGGAGCUUCUGGUUUAAAGGUUCCUUCUUUAUCUACUUGUUUCUUCUAUCAAUGUUAUUUGGUAUAAUUCUCUCAUAUUUCAUUCCCUGCUGUGAUUUUUGCUUCUGACAUUUUGUUAACCGCUUAAUAUUCUCUGGUGCGUAAAAAAAAGAAAAAAAAAUGCAUCAACUUUUAGAGUGGUGGGAGAGUUCAGGCUUAAAACUGAGUGCAUCCUAAAUAUGUUUGGCCUUGAAAUCCCAAAGGGAAAAAAGAGAAACUGAACAACCAGUGAGAAAAUGCUUCAGGGUUGUGUUGAAUGUUUACUUGCUUGUGCCUCUUCUUUGCUUUUCAAAAGCAAUAAAUCCAUGGACGAAAUCAUACAAGUGUAAAAAGACCUUAAUAAAUUGUUUUAAAUAUAUUUUAUGUUUGGUGCAGCAUGUAGAGGUUCCAGUGCCCACUCCAAAGAAAGGUGAGAUCUUGCUGAAAUUGGAAGCAGCUACUAUGAACCCGGUUGAUUGGAGAAUUCAGAAAGGCAAGAUGCGGCCUUUUUUUCCACCCAAAUUCCCUCAUAUACCUGGUAAGUUCUGUUUUGCCUGGUUUUCCCCUAAACCCCUUCUUAUAUUCAUAUCAUUCAAUUGGUAGCAUAUAAGCUGCAACAUACUGAUCAACAAACUGCCUGAUUUUUAUUAAUUACUACAUCAUUGGAACAUAAAGCAUACGCUCUGUGUCCCAAAAGAAUUUUCCUCUUUGAGGAAGUGAUCAUAAUGGUUACAGAUUAAUACAUCUUGACUCUCGAUAAAAUCUCUCAUUGAGACUUUUAUUCAUUUGUGGAAGUAUUGAGAGAGUUGAGGUAGAUAAAUUAGUUGGAUUCCGAAACAAAUUUGUGCUUCGACUUUUAAAAUGGGUGAACAUCAUUCCUAUGUUACGAGAAGAGUUUUGUGAUUUAUACAAGCAGUGUUUGUGAGUCUUAGGCUGGUAGGUUGGUUUGUUAACAGUGAUUGGCUAAUGAAAAUAUUGGGAACAGCUACUGAUGUUGCUGGAGAGGUUGUAGAAGUUGGAAAAGGGGUCCAAAAGUUCAAACCGGGCGACAAAGUUGUGGCAUAUCUCACCCUCGCUGUAAGCCUUCAUUGUAUUCCUUUGGUUAAUCUCUCCCUUUCUUGAAGAAUUUAUUGCACUUGGCAACAAGUUUCACUUAUAAAUUUCGUUUGUUUGUUAGAAUGGAGGUGGACUGGCUGAGUUUGUCACAGCUAGUGAGAGCUUGACAGUUGCCAGGCCACCUGAAGUUUCAGCAGCUCAAGGUGCAGGCUUACCUAUUGCUGGUCUCACAGCUCUCCAGGCUCUCACCCAAGCUGCAGGGCUUAAUCUCGACGGAAGUGGCCAGAAAAAGAACAUCUUGAUUACUGCUGCCUCUGGUGGUGUGGGUCAGUAUGCAGUCCAACUAGCAAAGCUCGGAAACACUCAUGUUACAGCCACAUGCGGUGCUCGUAACAUCGAAUUUAUCAAGAGCUUGGGGGCAGAUGAGGUUCUUGACUACAAGACCCCAGAAGGAGCAGCUCUGAUUAGCCCAUCUGGUAGGAAAUAUGACAUCGCUGUCCAUUGUGCAAUAACGGGCAUUCCCUGGUCAACUUUCAAGCCUAAUUUGAGCGCCAACGGGAAGGUUAUAAACAUUACUCCUGGUCCAAGUACCUGGGCUGCUAUUGCUCAGAACACACUCACCUUCUCCAAGAAGCAGCUGGUGCCACUGCUCUUGUGGGCUAAGAGUGAGAACCUUGAUUAUCUUGUCAAGUUAGUCAAGGAAGGAAAGCUCAAGACAGUGAUCGACUCUAAGCACCCUCUAAGCAAGGCUGAAGAUGCUUGGGCUAAGAGUAUUGAUGGACAUGCAACUGGGAAGAUAAUCGUGGAGCCUUAAGU